UACAGAGGGUGCAAGCGUUGUUCGGAAUUAUUGGGCGUAAAGGGAGUGUAGGCGGUUCAUUAAGUCUUCUGUGAAAUCUACGGGCUUAGCCUGUAACGUGCAGAGGAAACUGGUGGACUUGAGUGUUGGAGAGGAUAGGGGAAUACCCGGUGUAGAGGUGAAAUUCGUAGAGAUCGGGUGGAACACCAGUGGCGAAGGCGCCUAUCUGGCUGACAACUGACGCUGAGACUCGAAAGCAUGGGGAGCAAACAGG
rnacentral:rRNA from 1 species